rnacentral:rRNA from 1 species
CACGUAGGGUGCGAGCGUUGUCCGGAAUUACUGGGCGUAAAGAGCUCGUAGGUGGUUUGUCGCGUUGUUCGUGAAAACCGGGGGCUUAACCCUCGGCGUGCGGGCGAUACGGGCAGACUUGAGUACUGCAGGGGAGACUGGAAUUCCUGGUGUAGCGGUGGAAUGCGUAGAUAUCUGGAGGAACACCGGUGGCGAAGGCGGCAUCCUGGACCAACACUGACGCUGAUGAGCGAAAGCCAGGGGAGCAAACGGG